rnacentral:lncRNA from 1 species
UCUCUUGGUGGCUGAGAGCUCACAGACUAAUUAACUAGACUGGCUAGCCUGUGAGCCUCCAGGAUGCACCUGUCCCUGCACCCUCCCCUGCUCCUUAGGCCUGCAGGCACAUGCCACCUCAAGCAGUGUUUUUACCUGGAUGCAGAGGAUGGAGCGCAGGUCCUCAAGUUUGCAUAAGUACUUCAGGGACUAAGGUAUCUCCAUAUCUCCCCAGUCUCCUCCUCCUCCUCUUCCUUCUUCUUCUUCUUUUAACCCUUUCUUGUCUUUUGCAAUGAAAAUACCAAAAUACAUAAAUCCAAGAGCGGAUGAACACAGUGCUAAAUCUGAAGUUGUUUCAGUGAGCUGGUGGCAGGCCACUCCUGUGCCACAUAAGCCCUGCCUGCCUUUCUCAGACCACUCCACUGUCACAGCAUCACCCUGAGAGGUGCAGAAGACUGAAUGGCAGCUCAAGUAAAAACAGAGGAGCAAUAAAAAGAAAAAAGGCCCCAGAGGACAGACAGGGCUUACUCUUCUUCUGCAAAAGUCAACCAGCUCGGUGACAGCAUUCACAUUGGCUGAUCAUUCCAGCCAAGGUAAUUUUAUUCUUUUAUUCUCUCGUAUUGUGUAGUUUAAGCAGCAAUGCUUCCUUCCCCUCCCCACAGCUGCACACCCAGAUGAUAGCUCUGCCUGUCCCUCAUCACAGGCAGAAUCAUCUCCCUAUGACAGGAUAUCAAGGUGGGACCAGGGGGGUGGGGCGGCUUCUCCAGCCGGAAGAAAAUGCUCCACAGUUAUACACAGGCCUCCUCUAAAGGCUGGGACGAUGAAGGGUGUAGUUAGAUGGGGUUCACCCUUCUCACUGCACAAGCUUUGGGCCAGAUGCAGAGUGACCAAAUGGACGCUCUAGAAAGGUAGCCCUGAACACCCAAGUGGUGCCAGCACCGUAUAGCUACCUUCAGGUUAUAGCAGACCUCAGGUCUGCACCAAGGAGGCGGUGGAGACACCUGCUGGGAGGUGUGUGACCACUGCUUUGGCUGCUUGGUUUCCCCUGCCUUCUUCCAUGUUCUGUGAACCAGGUCUAUGGCAGGACCACAAUCUUCUUCUCCAGCUUCUGGGGCGGGAACAGGAAGUUCCUCAUGAUCUCAUCGAGCUCCUCCAGGGCCAGCUGGGCAUGCAGCUUGGCGACGUCAUCAGGUUCCAAGCGCACCACGUGCUUCAGCAAGUGAUAGAGAUCCCUGAGGACGUCGCUCAGCACCUGGAUGGAGAGAUGGGGUCAUGAGCACAUGUCUACUGGGAAGCAGUCUCUGGCGUCCUUGUAAGAUAAUGCAGGGACCUUCCAACCUGGAGCAUGGAGCUGGCUGUGCCCCACAUAAGAUUCCUUUGUGGUUUCUGCCCGCAACACCUCACUAUGAUUUUUAAGUCUGUGCCUCAUUAUUUCCAGACCCUAGUAUAGCUCCUAGACCCUCCCCCUUUAGUCAAAAGAUAGCAGAGGCCUCAGGACAAAGGCAGCCAAGAGUGUGUGGGCACAAAUGGCUGCCUGCAUCUUCCUCAGGGUCUCUGUGUGUCUAUAUAAGCACACAUAUAGGAGUCAGCGCUCCCUUUGCAAUGUGGAGCCUGAUGUAGAACUAAGGCCAAAGGCCUGAUGGCGACAGUCUUUACCACUGACCCAGCUCACCGUCUCCUGGUCUUCUGGGGUACAGACUGACCUCAAACGUGGGGUCCCCAUGCCUCAUCCUUCGGAGGGAGAGAGAUAUGUUUGGUUCUAGUUUAAGAUUUUUGUUAAGGCUGGUUAUAGUGGCACAGACCUUUAAUCCCAGCACUCAGAAGACAGAUCUCUUUGAGUUCGAGGCCAGCCUGGUCUCUACUGUAAAUCCCAGAACAGUCAAGGCUACACUUAGAACCCACCCUGGAAAGAAUUACAGGAAAGCAGGAUGGAGUAGACAAGCCCAUGAGAGUGUAAAACAGAACCUGACUCAGCAUGGUGGCACCUGCUUCUGAUCCCACUCCUGGAAGGUAGCAGCAGAAGGGUCAGCAGUUCAAAGCUGGCCUCAGCUACAAUAGAGGAGACAGUGCCAGCCUAGGCUAUGAGACCCUGUCUCAAACUAGAGCAAAACAAACAACAAUAAAACAAG